CGAUGUGCAAUACGUAUCCGGCCACGGCACGGAACGAACGGGAACUGUGGUGCAGACAUACAAAGAGUUAAGCCUAUUAGUCAUUAACUCUAAGGACGGGGCCAUGGGGCGGUACGCAAAGGAUACGGAUGAGCGAGUAUGCAGGCCCAAUACUCAAUAGCUCGAUCCGAUCCAAGCACAUGAGUUGACUGCGGCGCCAGGUUAACCAAUGUGCUAGAUUCUAUUUGGCCAGUAGAAUCUUGUGUCUUACGCGAUUUGAUACCAAGACACCAGAACGAAAGUUAGUUGAAGAGUGAUUAAACUCUUAUGAAGAAUGGUUGUGCAAUCACAACUUAUGACUUUAACCUAUAAAGUGGAUAUGGACUAUCAAUUAUAACAUGGGGCACACACCAUGUUCUCGAUCCAAUCCACGCACACGAGUUGCCUGAGUAGCGACAGGUAUACCGAUGUGCAAUACGUAUCCGGCCACGGCACGGAACGAACGGGAACUGUGGUGCAGACAUACAAAGAGUUAAGCCUACUAGUCAUUAACUCUAAGGACGGGGCCAUGGGGCGGUACGCAAAGGAUACGGAUGAGCGAGUAUGCAGGCCCAAUACUCAAUAGCUCGAUCCGAUCCAAGCACAUGAGUUGACUGCGGCGCCAGGUUAACCAAUGUGCUAGAUUCUAUUUGGCCAGUAGAAUCUUGUGUCUUACGCGAUUUGAUACCAAGACACCAGAACGAAAGUUAGUUGAAGAGUGAUUAAACUCUUAUGAAGAAUGGUUGUGCAAUCACAACUUAUGACUUUAACCUAUAAAGUGGAUAUGGACUAUCAAUUAUAACAUGGGGCACACACCAUGUUCUCGAUCCAAUCCACGCACACGAGUUGCCUGAGUAGCGACAGGUAUACCGAUGUGCAAUACGUAUCCGGCCAUAGGCACGGAACGAACAGGAGCUGUGGUGCAGACAUACAAGGGCCAUGGGGCGGUACGCAAAGGAUACGGAUGAGCGAGUAUGCAGGCCCAAUACUCAAUAGCUCGAUCCGAUCCAAGCACAUGAGUUGACUGCGGCGUCAGGUUAACCGAUGUGCAAUACGUAUCCGGCCAUAGGCACGGAACGAACAGGAACUGUGGUGCAGACAUACAAGGGCCAUGGGGCGGUACGCAAAGGAUACGGAUGAGCGAGUAUGCAGGCCCAAUACUCAAUAGCUCGAUCCGAUCCAAGCACAUGAGUUGACUGCGGCGCCAGGUUAACCGAUGUGCUAAGAGAGUUGUUCCUGGGCCUUCAAAGUGACUUCAAAACUAUCUUAGCGAAUGGUGGCCAUGGGCGUAGACAUGAGCCACAAGUCACAAGGCCUGGGACUAUUGGGUAAUAAAGACAACUUAGUCAGAAAGUUAGUCUUUGGACGUA